rnacentral:lncRNA from 1 species
UAAUUUUUGAGUUAUUUGGGACAUUUGUAGGUACUAUAAGUGCGUUUCAGUUCCCAAAGAAAAAUUUAAGGAACUCAGGGACCACCCAUAGGUGUAGUAACCAUCUAAUUUUAGCAUCGAAUCAAGUAAGGACCCCUCACUCUAUUUCCUACCAUAAAUGUGAAGUUUGAAUAAAUAGUAAUACGGUCUUUUGUACAAGUUAGAUAGAUAUGCAUAAUUAAUUACGAAUUGCUAAUGGAGCCCAAAAUCGGAUAUUGUUCUCUGUUGAUUCUGUUGAUUUAUUUUAC